GCCUGGGUGGCUUAGUCGGUUAAGUGACUGACUUCAGCUCAGGUCAUAAUCUCAUGGUUCAUGGGUUCGAGCCCCGCAUCGGGCU
rnacentral:tRNA from 1 species